rnacentral:lncRNA from 1 species
AAGUUAGACUUCCUGCCAGUUUUAGCAGUGUUUCAUCUCAGGGGACUGUUGUUUAAAUUCGAGUUCUAUCUUUGUGACUGUGGCACUAAGAGGAAAGUCAGAAGAACAGAAAAUUUUGAAGAAUUGUCUCUGUGAAUGGAUGUAAUCAACUUCCAAUGAUAAUAAUUUGACUAGCAGGAAACCCUUGUGCACGACAGGAAUUAUCUGGAGUUUUCCAUAAUUGUGUAAGAGAGAAAAUUCAGAAUUGAAGACAAGAAGAGUCAACUGGCCCCAUGACUGAAUCUCCGUUGUUUUAAGCUGCUCCAACUGGAGCCAGGAGACUGGGGGCAAACGGACUGCAAGGUCCAGCACCUCUGAAUAGAAGGAAUAAUGAGUCAUCAA